rnacentral:rRNA from 1 species
CUCGUAGGAGGUUCGUCGCGUCCGGUGUGAAAGUCCAUCGCUUAACGGUGGAUCCGCGCCGGGUACGGGCGGGCUUGAGUGCGGUAGGGGAGACUGGAAUUCCCGGUGUAACGGUGGAAUGUGUAGAUAUCGGGAAGAACACCAAUGGCGAAGGCAGGUCUCUGGGCCGUUACUGACGCUGAGGAGCGAAAGCGUGGGGAGCGAACA